UACGUAGGGGGCGAGCGUUGUCCGGAUUUAUUGGGCGUAAAGAGCGUGUAGGCGGCCAGGUAGGUCUGCUGUGAAAACUCGAGGCUCAACCUCGAGACGUCGGCGGAAACCAUCUGGCUAGAGUCCGGAAGAGGAGAGUGGGAAUUCCGUGGAUGUAGCGGUGAAAUGCGCAGAUAUACAGGGAAGAACACCCGUGGCGAAGGCGGCUCUCUGGGACGGUACUGGCGCUGAGACGCGAAAGCGUGGGGGAGCGAACAG
rnacentral:rRNA from 1 species